AGGAGCCGUAUGAGAUGAAAAUCUCACAUACGGUUCUGUAGAGUGGUAGUAAAGUUGAUUUAUCAAUCAACUUUUUCACUAUUAU
rnacentral:ncRNA from 1 species